AGAGUUUGAUCAUGGCUCAGAUUGAACGCUGGCGGCAUGCCUUACACAUGCAAGUCGAACGGUAACGGGCCUUCGGGUGCCGACGAGUGGCGAACGGGUGAGUAAUGUAUCGGAACGUACCUUUCAGUGGGGAUAACGUAGCGAAAGUUACGCUAAUACCGCAUAUUCUGUGAGCAGGAAAGCAGGGGAUCGCAAGACCUUGCGCUGAUUGAGCGGCCGAUAUCAGAUUAGCUAGUUGGUGAGGUAAAGGCUCACCAAGGCGACGAUCUGUAGCGGGUCUGAGAGGAUGAUCCGCCACACUGGAACUGAGACACGGUCCAGACUCCUACGGGAGGCAGCAGUGGGGAAUUUUGGACAAUGGGGGCAACCCUGAUCCAGCCAUGCCGCGUGAGUGAAGAAGGCCUUCGGGUUGUAAAGCUCUUUCGGCCGGGAAGAAAUCGUAUGGGUUAAUACCCUGUGCGGAUGACGGUACCGGCAUAAGAAGCACCGGCUAACUACGUG
rnacentral:rRNA from 1 species